rnacentral:rRNA from 1 species
GAUGAACGCUGGCGGCGUGCCUAAUACAUGCAAGUCGAGCGAACGGACGAGAAGCUUGCUUCUCUGAUGUUAGCGGCGGACGGGUGAGUAACACGUGGAUAACCUACCUAUAAGACUGGGAUAACUUCGGGAAACCGUAGCUAAUACCGGAUAAUAUUUUGAACCGCAUGGUUCAAAAGUGAAAGACGGUCUUGCUGUCACUUAUAGAUGGAUCCGCGCUGCAUUAGCUAGUUGGUAAGGUAACGGCUUACCAAGGCAACGAUGCAUAGCCGACCUGAGAGGGAGAUCGGCCACACUGGAACUGAGACACGGGCCAGACUCCGACGGGAGGAAGCAGGAGGGAAUCUUACGCAAGGGGCGAAAGCCUGACGGAGCAAUGCCGAGGGAGGGAUGAAGGUCGUCUGAUCGUAAAACUCUGUUAUUAGGGAAGAACAAAUGUGUAAGGAACUAUGCACGUCGUGACGGUAAAUAAUCAGAAAGCCACGGCUAACUACGUG